AGUCUAUCGGGAAAUCCGCGCGCUUAACGCGCGGGCGUCCGGUGGAAACUGCGUGGCUUGGGACCGGAAGACCAGAGGGGUACGUCCGGGGUAGGAGUGAAAUCCCGUAAUCCUGGACGGACCACCGGUGGCGAAAGCGCCUCUGGAAGACGGAUCCGACGGUGAGGGACGAAAGCUCGGGUCACGAACCGGAUUAGAUACCCGGGUAGUCCGAGCUGUAAACGAUGUCUGCUAGGUGUGGCACAGGCUACGAGCCUGUGCUGUGCCGUAGGGAAGCCGUGAAGCAGACCGCCUGGGAAGUACGUCCGCAAGGAUGAAACUUAAAGGAAUUGGCGGGGGAGCACUACAACCGGAGGAGCCUGCGGUUUAAUUGGACUCAACGCCGGACAUCUCACCAGCAUCGACAAUGUGCAGUGAAAGUCAGGUUGAUGACCUUACUGGAGCCAUUGAGAGGAGGUGCAUGGCCGCCGUCAGCUCGUACCGUGAGGCGUCCUGUUAAGUCAGGCAACGAGCGAGACCCGCACUCCUAAUUGCCAGCAACACCCUCGUGGUGGUUGGGUACAUUAGGAGGACUGCCAGUGCCAAACUGGAGGAAGGAACGGGCAACGGUAGGUCAGUAUGCCCCGAAUGUGCUGGGCGACACGCGGGCUACAAUGGCCG
rnacentral:rRNA from 1 species